rnacentral:rRNA from 1 species
CCCUUAGAUGGCCUGGGCUGCACGCGGGCUACAAUGGUAUAUUCAGCGUGAGUUGUUUACCGAAAGGUAGAUCAAAUCUUCAAAUUAUACCGUACUUGGGAUUGGACAUUGCAAUUGUUGUCCAUGAACGAGGAAUUCCUAGUAAGUGCAUGUCAUUAGCGUGCGCUGAUUACGUCCCUGCCCUUUGUACACACCGCCCGUCGCUCCUACCGAUUGGGUGCUGGGGUGAACAUUGUGGAGAUUUGAGCUUCGGCUUGGUCAAAGCAAUGUGAAUCUUGCCGUCUAGAGGAAGGAGAAGUCGUAACA